rnacentral:rRNA from 1 species
AGGACGAACGCUGGCGGCGUGCCUAACACAUGCAAGUCGAACGAGGUCCAACCGGUAGCAAUACCGGUGAAGACCAAGUGGCGAACGGGUGAGUAGCACGUGAGCAACCUGCCCCGAAGACCGGGACAACACCGGGAAACCGGUGCUAAUACCGGAUAUCCCCACUGAGUCGCAUGGCUCGGUGAGGAAAUGGAUUCCGCUUCGGGAGGGGCUCGCGGCCUAUCAGCUUGUUGGUGAGGUAACGGCUCACCAAGGCUUCGACGGGUAGCUGGUCUGAGAGGACGAUCAGCCACACUGGGACUGAGACACGGCCCAGACUCCUACGGGAGGCAGCAGUGGGGAAUCUUGCACAAUGGGCGCAAGCCUGAUGCAGCAACGCCGCGUGAGGGACGAAGGCUUUCUGAGUUGUAAACCUCUUUCAGCAGGGACGAGUUGUGACGGUACCUGCAGAAGAACGCCCGGCAACGUACGUGCCAGCAGCCGC